AGUCUGGUGCCAGCACCCGCGGUAAUUCCAGCUCCAAGAGCGUAUAUUAAUACUGCUGUAGUUAAAACGCCCGUAGUAUACCUAAGAGUGGGCAUGUAGUAAUUAGUUUUGUCAGAGGAUGAUUGACGAGAGUUUAUCACUCUUGUUCGUCUACCUUUGAUAGACUUUAGUCGGGCUGGAUCUUCGGUCCACGUCUGACAGUUGCUGCGUGUUUACUUACCACGGUUUAUCCGUGAGGCCCUUGGCUUGCAACUGUAAAUAAAUCGUUGUGCUUAAAGCGGGCUAUGAUACUCUGCCAGAGCGAUUUAGCAUGGGACUGCAGAGUAGCUGUAUUUGAGUGAAGGUUGUAUUUCGGUAUGACUGGAUCUUGGUACAGCGCUUGUAAUGGAGCUCAGGGUGAGGCCCCGGGUACCAUGAGGCUAGAGGUGAAAUUCUGAGACCCUCAUGUGACCAACUAAGGCGAAAGCUGUCGUGGGCCACCACAAGCUCGUCUAUCAGGGACGAAAGUUGGGGGAUCGAAGACGAUUAGAUACCGUCGUAGUCCCAACUAUAAACGAUACCAACCGAGUAUUUGGGAAGACACUAUCCCAGCGAUCUUCUCAGAACUCAAGGGAAACCUUAAGUCUUUGGGUUCUGGGGGGAGUAUAGUCGCAAGACCGAAACUUAAAGGAAUUGACGGAAAGGCACCACCAGGAGUGGAGUCUGCGGCUUAAUUCGACCCAACACGGGGAAACUCACCAGGUCAGGACACAAGUUUGAUUGACAGGUUAAUAGCCCUUUCUUGAUUGUGUGGUGGGUAGUGCAUGGCCGUUUCCAGUUCGUGGAGUGAUCUGUCUUGUUAAUUCAGAUAACGAACGAGACCUAAGCCUUUAACUAGCCGUAGGCCUUUUCCUUCGGGGAAAGGUUUAGUUUGUCGGGACAGGUUCUGCCUGUUCCUAAACCUACGAGACUUUUGUCAGCUUCUUAAAGGGACUUCAUUCGUAAACUAGGAUGAGGAAGAUUUAGGCCAUAACAGGUCUGUGAUGCUCUUAGAUGUCCUGGGCUGCACGCGUACUACAAUAACGGUACCAGCGAGCGCUAUGGUUUUAUAACCCCUUAUCCUAAUAGGAUUGGGAAAACUUUUCAAACACCGUUAUGACAGGGAUCGAGGAUUGGAACAUCCUCGUGAACGAGGAAUUCCUAGUAAGCGUGGUUCAUCAUACCACAUUGAUUACGUCCCUGCCUUUUGUACACACCGCCCGUCGCUCCUACCGAUGGGACGAAGAGAUGAACCUGGCGGACCGAACCGCAAGGUAAGGGAAACCAGUUAAAUCUCUUCGUCUGUAGGAAGGAAAAGUCGUAA
rnacentral:rRNA from 1 species